AUAACGACUCUCGGCAACGGAUAUCUCGGCUCUCGCAUCGAUGAAGAACGUAGCGAAAUGCGAUACUUGGUGUGAAUUGCAGAAUCCCGUGAACCAUCGAGUCUUUGAACGCAAGUUGCGCCCGAAGCCAUCCGGCCGAGGGCACGUCUGCCUGGGCGUCACG
rnacentral:rRNA from 1 species